rnacentral:lncRNA from 10 species
GUAUUUCUGGUUCGUUGUCCAGAAUAUUUGCUAAAUUUACCUUCAUUUCUACAAAAAUUUCUAAUGUAAAUAUCCAAUACUUAGAGGGAAGGCGGAAGCAACAUUUAUUUGAAGACCUACUAUGUGCCACUAUUUUAUAACCAUCGCCUCCUCUGAUCCUCACAAUAACCAGAAACAGAUCUGAAGCCAAUCCCUGAGCCUCCUGGGCCAUACACUGUCCCACUAUUUCAAAAGAAACUCAGUGACGAGAGGGCAGAGGGAGAAUAUGUCCAGCAUCUCAGCCUCAUUGUUUUCCACUUGGCAGCCCCCUCCAGUUCAGGGAUUCAUUUGAAGAAGCCCACAGGGACGGGUGACACUGAGGAAACAAAACCCAGGCCCCCCGGCCUCCGACUGAGCCGUGCAGAGCAUGCUGGGAGAUCACCUCCACCUGAGGAGCACAAAAGACCCCAGGAGUGGAGGAAGCUGGCCUGAGGCCAACUGGAUGUAGCAGACUUGCUGAGCCCAAGGAGGGAGGUCUGGUGAUGGAGCCUCGAGUACAUAUCCUUCCAAUCCUAAGAAAAAACACAACAGGAAACUUAAAUGAAUGGCUCAAAGAAAUUGCAAACGUUUGCCCAGAUCAAGACCUAAGAUGUUAUUAGCUCCUUAGAAGUCUCGCUCCUGCCCUCUCUAAAUUGUUAUCCUUCAUCCAUACCUUUCCCCAAAAGUGGCCUCUUUCUGGAUUUUUAACAACAGUUUUGUCUGCUUUUUCACUUAAUAUAAAUAAAAUGCAUUCUUUUGUGGUUGAUUUAUUUUCCCGAACACUGUGUAUGUGAGCUUCCUUUCUGUUGUGUCUGAAGCUUUUGUUUGUUUAUCAUUGAAUGUCAUUUUGUUGUAUGAUGAUAUGAUUAUUGAUUGAUUCUUCUGUUGAGGGGUAUUUGAUUUAUUUGCGGGUUAAUGUGAAUAGUAUCAUUAUGAAUAUUCUUUUCCCUCUCUUGGUACACUCAUUUCUGUUAGGUAUGUACCUAGGAAGGGAAUUGCUCAGUUAAAGCAUGCAUUUAUAUUUUUAUGUAUGUCAAAAUGUUUUCAAAAGUGUUUGUACCAAAUUAUAUUCUUACCAUCAAUGUGUAAGAGUUCAGGUUGUUCCACAUACUUGGCAGCACUUGGUAUUGUCUGUAUUUUGAAUUUAUAGUAGUUCUGGUAAUUGGGUAGUAGUAUCUCAUUGAGGCUGUAACUAGCAUUACUAUGAUUAUUAUUGAGGCUGACCAACAGUUUAUAUGUUUGCCAUACUUUUGGAGAUCUUUUAUGAAAUGCCUGUUUGAAUCUUCUGCCCAUUUUUUUAAAAUUGGGUUAUCUCUCUUUUUCUUACUGAUUUCUGAAGCUGUUUACAUAUUCUGAAAAUGAGCCUUUACUAGGUGAUAAGUGUUGCAAGUAUCUUUUUCUUUUCUGUUACUUGACUUUUCACUGUUUUAAUAGUGUGUCUUUGUGAACAGAAAUUCGUAUUUUAUAUACACAUACACACACACACACACACACACACACACACACACACACACACAUAUAUUUCCUUUAAAUUUGAUUUUUGGGGACUGUCUUUUGUUUUUGUUUAAGAAAUCAUUCCCUG